AACGAACGCUGGCGGCAGGCCUAACACAUGCAAGUCGAACGCCCUAGCAAUAGGGAGUGGCAGACGGGUGAGUAACACGUGGGAACCUUCCCUAUAGUACGGAAUAUACCAGGGAAACUUGGAGCAAUACCGUAUACGCCCGAAAGGGGAAAGAUUUAUCGCUAUAGGAUGGGCCCGCGUAGGAUUAGCUAGUUGGUGAGGUAAUGGCUCACCAAGGCGACGAUCCUUAGCUGGUUUGAGAGAACGACCAGCCACACUGGGACUGAGACACGGCCCAGACUCCUACGGGAGGCAGCAGUGGGGAAUAUUGGACAAUGGGCGCAAGCCUGAUCCAGCCAUGCCGCGUGAGUGAUGAAGGCCUUAGGGUUGUAAAGCUCUUUUGUCGGGGACGAUAAUGACGGUACCCGAAGAAUAAGUCCCGGCUAACUUCGUG
rnacentral:rRNA from 1 species